AAUGAACGUUGGCGGCGUGGAUUAGGCAUGCAAGUCGUGCGGCAGCAGGCCCCGCAAGGGGUGCUGGCGAGCGGCGAAAGGGUCAGUAACACGUGGAUAACCUACCCUCGGGCCCGGGAUAGCGGCGGGAAACUGCCGGUAAUACCGGAUAAUGUCCCUGGACCAAAGGUGUGAUUCCGUCCGAGGAUGGGUCCGCGUCCUAUUAGCUAGUUGGUGAGGUAACGGCCCACCAAGGCAAAGAUGGGUAGGGGGGGUGAGAGCAUGAUCCCCGACACUGGGACUGAGACACUGCCGAGACAACUACGGGUGGCUGCAGUCGAGAAUCUUCGGCAAUGGGCGCAAGCCUGACCGAGCGACGCCGCGUGCGGGAUGAAGGCCUUCGGGUUGUAAACCGCUGUCAGAGGGGCGGAAAUUUAUUGGGGUUCUCCCCAGUAAUUGACUUAACCUCAGAGGAAGCAUGGGCUAAGUUCGUGCCAGCCGCCGCAGUAAUAC
rnacentral:rRNA from 1 species